UACGUAGGUGACAAGCGUUAUCCGGAAUUACUGGGCGUAAAGAGCUCGUAGGCGGCUUGUCGCGUCGUCUGUGAAAUCCCGCGGCUCAACUGCGGGCUGGCAGUCGAUACGGGCAGGCUGGAGUUCGGUAGGGGAGACUGGAAUUCCUGGUGUAGCGGUGAAAUGCGCAGAUAUCAGGAGGAACACCGGUGGCGAAGGCGGGUCUCUGGGCCGAUACUGACGCUGAGGAGCGAAAGCGUGGGGAGCGAACAGG
rnacentral:rRNA from 1 species